UACGUAGGGGGGCAAGCGUUGUCCGGAUUUAUUGGGCGUAAAGAGCGUGUAGGCGGCCAGGUAGGUCAGCUGUGAAAACUCGAGGCUCAACCUCGAGACGUCGAUGGAAACCAUCUGGCUAGAGUCCGGAAGAGGAGAGUGGAAUUCCUGGUGUAGCGGUGAAAUGCGCAGAUAUCAGGAAGAACACCUAUGGCGAAGGCAGCUCUCUGGGACGGUACUGACGCUGAGACGCGAAAGCGUGGGGAGCAAACAGG
rnacentral:rRNA from 1 species